UACGUAUGGUGCAAGCGUUAUCCGGAUUUACUGGGCGUAAAGGGAGCGCAGGCGGCGCGCCAAGUCUGAUGUGAAACCCCGGGGCUCAACCCCGGGCAUGCAUUGGAAACUGGCGGGCUGGAGUGCCGGAGAGGUAAGCGGAAUUCCUAGUGUAGCGGUGAAAUGCGUAGAUAUUAGGAGGAACACCAGUGGCGAAGGCGGCUUACUGGACGGCAACUGGCGCUGAGGCUCGAAAGCGUGGGGAGCAAACAGG
rnacentral:rRNA from 1 species